rnacentral:rRNA from 1 species
UGUAAGCGUAUACCAAAGUUGUUGCAGUUAAAACGCUCGUAGUCGGAAUUUGGCAGUUCCGGAUGUGUGCACGUCGUGUGCGCACUUCGCGGGGAUUGCUUUUGUGGUCUUGCGUAGGAUGAGGCACUUUUAUUAGUGAACGUCCUCACGCAACCACUUUUUACUGUGAGAAAAUCAGAGUGCUCAAAGCAGGCAUUUGCCGUGAAUGUAUUAGCAUGGAAUAAUAUAAUAGGACUUGGUUCUAUUUUGUUGGUUUGUUGGGACUGAGUAAUGAUUAAGAGGGACAGUUGGGGGCAUUUGUAUUUCGGUGCUAGAGGUGAAAUUCUUAGAUUACCGAAAGACAAACUGCUGCGAAAGCGUCUGCCAAGGAUGUUUUCAUUGA